UUUAAGUUUGGUGUUUCCCAGUGUGGGUUUGCCUCAUUCUACAGGUGGCUAUCAAAAUUUAAAUGCAACACAAUGGGAUGUUCCAAUUUGAUCAUAUUCUGUCUUUCCUAGGAAGCUGACAAAAGAACUCUCUACAGUUGUUUUAUACAGCAAAUAAAUCAUCCCCCCCAUUUCCAUCUUCUUAAUUGUUUAGGUUGGGUGAGACGUUGCGGGCAGUCGUGCAGAUCUGCCAUGAACCGGAUGCAGAGACAGCCUUCCCUCCUCCCACUGCAGUUCUGCCAUUUCUCCAAGACUGCGCUUGAAGGACUGAAGGAAAGGAGUUUCUGCACAGCCUUCUACUUCUAGAGACUAGGGAGUCAUGGCAUCAAGAGGACUCCCAGCUCUCAUGUAGCCGGCAUAGGCUUUAGGGACGAGGUGUGUACUUGGAGCCCACCAAAGUCAGAAGAGGGCGUCAGAUUCCCCCGGAACUGGAGCUAC